GAAUGGGUGAAAGCCAAUCCACAAUUAUGUAACAACGGUUUCAGGACAUCCAAUCCUUUGCUAUGUGUAAUGCUGAAUUCAGUACAAGGACUGAGAAUUCAUUUGGGCCAAGGGUAAGGGGGUUGGAGAACGGGGGCAACCAGCACUCAUAAUAGAGCUGGCAAUUUGCCCCAGGCUAUAGAAGCAGCAGCUGUACUAUGAAAAAUUCAAUAAAGUCUCAACUAAUCUGCACUUCAAAACAGGAUUGUCAUUCAAGCAAGAGACUUAAUCUGUGAUAUAGUGCCAAGAUUGCGAAGAGAGACAACAAGCUAGACAGAAAGCACAACACACAAACAGAUUCUGACAGAGAUGGCCCAGGAGUCUUGGAAGUGGCACUGCCCUUCCACAGUUCCCACCCUCCCCACUUUGUUGCCAGCCCAGAUUCCAUAGGCAUUAUUGAGAGGAGCAGUCACUGUGGCUAACGUUCUUCACUAUUGACAUUAUUGCGGAUCAAUGCUAUUGCUGGGCAGGGAUGCCGAAGAACUCUGGGAAUAGCAGCAUCCCUUAAAACACUAGUCCCGUUUCUUGCCAAACUCUGGCAGCCAUCACUAGGGAAUUCACUCUUGUGGAAAUGAGGCCUAUCAAAUAUUUCUGUGGGUAAUACGACCCUGCCUGCCACAACAGUCACCACUACUGACGUUCCAGAAAGUUCUUGCCACCAAAGUCCUUGAUGUUGGCAAAUGGCUCAAUGUCAGAAACAGGAAUGACAAAGUCAACUGAGUUACCUGAGGAUAAAAAGGGAGUCUGGAAAUGAAUGGCAGAAAUGGGGAAUCUCCAGAUAGAUCCCAGCCUUCCAUCUAAGAUCA